rnacentral:rRNA from 1 species
UACGGGGGGGCAAGCGUUGUUCGGAAUUACUGGGCGUAAAGGGCUCGUAGGUGGCCAACUAAGUCAGACGUGAAAUCCCUCGGCUUAACCGGGGAACUGCGUCUGAUACUGGAUGGCUUGAGUUCGGGAGAGGUGAGUGGAAUUCCGAGUGUAGAGGUGAAAUUCGUAGAUAUUCGGAAGAACACCAGUGGCGAAGGCGGCUCACUGGACCGUUGUUGACGCUGAGGUGCGAAAGCGUGGGGAGCAAACAGG